GACAGGAAACACAGGUUUAAGGCUGUGAAAUCCAGCCUGCAUUAGCCAUAAAGAAUGAGACUUCCUGCUUCUCCCAGGGAGCAGCUGGGAUGCAGGGUUCAUAGAUCCUAAGGCCAGACGAGACCAUUGUGAUUAGCUAGUCUGACCUCCUAUAUAGCACAGGCCAGAGAACUAUCCUAAAAUAAUUCCUAGAGCAGAUCUGUUAGAAAAACAUCCCAUCUUGAUUUAAAAAUUGCCAGCAAUGGAGAAUCUACCACGACCUUGACCAAAAACUUCUCUGAGGUGAAGGUUGAGAGGACGUUCAGCAAUGUAAGGGUGAAAACACGACAGCACUGUUGUAAUCAUCCCUAAAGCAAGCAUUACCAACGCAGGAAAUUCAGAGUCAAGCGUACACUGAAAAGAACCCUAAACACAGUAAGUUGCUGUUCACCAGGGAGAGCAGGGACUCGGUGCCCCAGGUGAUUGCAGGGAGGAGGUAUCUGCGCAGUCCCACUGCAGGCUGGGCUGCUUGAG